rnacentral:rRNA from 1 species
UACGUAGGUGGCGAGCGUUGUCCGGAAUUACUGGGUGUAAAGGGAGCGCAGGCGGGAAGCCAAGUCAGCUGUGAAAACUACGGGCUUAACUUGUAGACUGCAGUUGAAACUGGUUUUCUUGAGUGAAGUAGAGGUUGGCGGAAUUCCGAGUGUAGCGGUGAAAUGCGUAGAUAUUCGGAGGAACACCGGUGGCGAAGGCGGCCAACUGGGCUUUAACUGACGCUGAGGCUCGAAAGUGUGGGGAGCAAACAGG